UACGUAGGGUGCGAGCGUUAAUCGGAAUUACUGGGCGUAAAGCGCGCGCAGGCGGUUUGUUAAGUCUGAUGUGAAAGCCCCGGGCUCAACCUGGGAAUUGCAUUGGAAACUGGCAGGCUCGAGUUUGGCAGAGGAGGGUGGAAUUCCGCGUGUAGCGGUGAAAUGCGUAGAGAUGCGGAGGAACACCGGUGGCGAAGGCAGCCCUCUGGGCUAAGACUGACGCUGAGGCGCGAAAGCGUGGGGAGCAAACAGG
rnacentral:rRNA from 1 species